GGAGGGGUGACCGAGAGGCCGAUGGUGCUCGCCUGCUAAGCGAGUGUGGGGGUCAGACUCCACCGAGGGUUCGAAUCCCUCCUCCUCCGCCA
rnacentral:tRNA from 1 species